AGUGAACGCUGGCGGUAGGCCUAACACAUGCAAGUCGAACGGCAGCACAGUAAGAGCUUGCUCUUACGGGUGGCGAGUGGCGGACGGGUGAGGAAUACAUCGGAAUCUACUUUUUCGUGGGGGAUAACGUAGGGAAACUUACGCUAAUACCGCAUACGACCUACGGGUGAAAGCAGGGGAUCUUCGGACCUUGCGCGAUUGAAUGAGCCGAUGUCGGAUUAGCUAGUUGGCGGGGUAAAGGCCCACCAAGGCGACGAUCCGUAGCUGGUCUGAGAGGAUGAACAGCCAAACUGGGACUGGGAAAAGGUCCAAACUCCUAAGGGGGGCAGCAGUGGGGAAUAUUGGAAAAUGGGCGCAAGGCUGAUCCAGCCAUAACGCGUGGGUGAAGAAGGCCUUCGGGUUGUAAAGCCCUUUUGUUGGGAAAGAAAAGCAGCAGGUUAAUACCCCGCUGUUCUGACGGUACCCAAAGAAUAAGCACCGGCUAACUUCGUG
rnacentral:rRNA from 1 species